AGUAAGGGAUAUUGCGACAAUGGGCGACAGCCUGACGCAGCAACGCCGCGUAUGGGAUGAAGGCCUUCGGGUUGUAAACCAUUUUUCGAGGGGAAGAGGCAGGACGGUACCCUCGGAAGAAGUCUCGGCUAACUACGUGCCAGCAGCCGCGGUAAAACGUAGGAGGCGAGCGUUAUCCGGAUUUACUGGGUGUAAAGCGCGUGCAGGCGGAUGCCAAAGUGGUGCGUGAAAGCGCCCGGCUUAACCGGGCGAGGACGUGCUAAACUGGGGAUCUGGAGGCAGGGAGAGGCGUGUGGAAUUCCGGGUGUAGUGGUGAAAUGCGUAGAGAUCCGGAGGAACACCAGUGGCGAAAGCGACACGCUGGGCCUGACCUGACGCUCAGACGCGAAAGCAUGGGGAGCGAACGGGAUUAGAAACCCCGGUAGUCCAUGCCGUAAACGAUGCGGACUAGGUGUGCGUGCCGGAAGGCAGGUGUGCCGAAGCCAACGCGAUAAGUCCGCCA
rnacentral:rRNA from 1 species